UUCACAAAAUCCCGCUCAAACUAAAACCCUAAGCCAAAACACGCGUAGAUGGCUUCCUUCUCCUACAAUCUUCUUUCCUUAUGGCAACAUAGAUUCAGGUCCCAUCUAUCGCUGAUUUCUUUCACAAACACUAAAUCUAUACUAGGCGAUUCUCUCACGCUGGUAUCAAAAACCCUAAAUUGGAACCAGUCGGAUCUGAUACAGUGAAAUUAAGGCUUUUGAUUUCCGAGUUAGGGUUUCUUCUUCAUAUGCGGUCUUCUUUUGCUUUAUACUUUCAGGUCACUUACUUUAUUUCUUUAAUUUAAUGUCUCUAUCUUAUUUUUGUACAUUGGAUUGCUUGUGAAGACUUUGAUUUCUACAUGAUGAAUUCUAUAUACCUUAAUUCAUAUACAUAUUUUCCACCAAAGUAAGUUUUUUUAAGAAUAGAGCAUAACUUUAUAUUCUUUUCAUGAUUUUAUAAAUGAUUUCAUAUUAAGAGAGGCCAUGGGGUAGCUCAGUAUCUUGGUAAAUCGCAAGCAAUGAAGAUGUUCUGCAUAUAAUAUUUCCGAACAUGAUGAUCUUGGCGAGGCAAAGAUGAGAUUAUCCACAUCUUGGCGGGGCAACCUGGAUGGUCAUGUGAAAGAUUGAAUAAGUUUGUGCUCUCACAUGGCAAUCGGUUGAUAACUUGCGGCUGGGAAUGAGUGGUGGCCAUAAUUGGAUUGUAAAAGUUGUUAGUUCAACGCUGGUGUUGCAGAAGGGCCGGCCUAAUUGCUGAAUGUUUGGUAGGAGAUGAGACCGAGACUAUAUUGUUCACUGCAAGGAAUAAUCAAGAUAUUUAGAGUGGCGAAGAAGGAGAUGUAGUAUGCCUACAAACUGUCGGUGGAUCUAAUCGGGAUGGAAGUACAUUUGCACAACUAAAAACAUGUCCAUUGAUGGGAAGUCUCUAGCCAACUAGGAUGAGUUUUUUUCAUUCCAAAGGUUCGUGUCGCUAUAUCUUAGUAUCACUUUUCUUUCAACAAACGAACUUUGAUCUACAUAUGCUUUAUAUCCGAU